rnacentral:lncRNA from 10 species
AGAUCAGCCCUGGGGUUCAGAGGGAUCCUGACAGCUACUCCUCAAGAUCCUCUCUGUUGUGAUUCAUCCCCCCGGGGCCCUACAGUUUCUCCUUCCUGACUCUUACAUUUCUUUGGAUGGCAUCAUUAUUUACCUGUCUCCUCCCAUAGUUAGGUGCCAAGCACUGUGGAUUCUGCCUCUCAGUGUCCAGACACCCAUUUUCCUUCCCACUGUUCCUUCCCCAUGGAGAAGCCUGUGGCUGGCUGACAGCAGAGAGAGAUGCUCAACUUGGAGAAGGUGUUACCUGGGCCAGGUGGGGAAGGUUUGUUUGCAGAGCAAAGAAGUGAAGUAUUAACCCUUUGCAUGGCCUCCUGAGAAUCCGACAAGACGUAAAUAGCCAAGAAUAUCUGUGAAACUUCAUCACUGAGUUACAAUAUUUAUCACUGCAAGUGUGUUGUUCAUUGACACUAUAAAGCCAUGUGGAAUUAAGCAGCCUUGAAACACAAAAUGGAGAAAGGCUAAGAGCUGAGAAUUGUUGCCUUCAGGGAAAUACAAUCAAUGUCAAGCAAACAACCACCCCAAAAUGAUCCUCAUGUGACAGGUGACCUGCCAUAUAAUCAGAAGGAAGAAAUGUUACACAGAGAGGCUGAGAAGAAUCUGAGGACUUGCUAAGUUUUCCCCAGUUUAUUACCAUUAGAUCAUAUGCCUUUUUUGUUCAAUCAUACUUCUAUACAACUGUCCAUCAUUCAUUAAACCUAACCACAAAAGUAGUUUUCACUCGGUUUUUGAGUGAAGGCUCCUGUGUCACAUAAAACUUACAUUAAAUAAAUUUGUUCCAC